UUCCUAAAUCACAAGAUGGAUGUGAAAGAAUCACAAAACUUUAUCACAAUUAUUUUCUGAAAAAGUAGUAGACCUCCGCUACUGUGAAUCUUGGGACCAAAAAUAUGCAAUCUUUUCAUCGGAUCAUUGAGAAGUUCCUGUCCUUUCAGAACAGAGGCAGGCUGUGUCCCUGAGGAUCUACAAACGGUAAUUGGAUUGUAACUGUGCAAACUGUCCUUAUUAGGAAUCAACCAAAGAAUGUUGGAAGCCACUGGUGAAACCCCUGAGAGCAAGAUAAAGCACAUAGGAUGCCUUCUUUGUUUAGGACAAAUUCUCAGUUCUUAAAUUAUAUUUUAAAACUACUGACUCCAUUUUUCUAACACUAGCCACACACACUAAAAAGCAAAAGUUUUCAUUCUCUUUCACACUGAAGCAUAACACAUGCUCUGUAUUUUAUCCUCUUUGUGGGACAGCAGUCCUUGAGAAGUUGUUCAUUUCCUGAACAGAGGGUGUGGAGGUCAGAGUGAAUAUACCCACAUGGCCAUAUCUAAGAGGGUUCAGGUUGGGGUGGGGGUUGGGGGUGGCAUCCAUGAAGAGCAGAGAGAAAAGGGAAGAUUAAUUCCAAUCGCGAAUUACCUUGAUCUCCAUGCAUUCCACAUGGCACUGAACCAAAUACAACUCGAAAAGACAUCUUUGUUUCCCAGUCAAUAGGAAGUUAUAGUUCUCUCAUGGGUCUCAAGUGAAUUCCAACAAAAGAAUCACUGUGAUUAUAAUUUACAAACCGGGAAAUGAUUUCAUGGAAGAUCUUACUGAUUCAAAAUUAAGGACUCGGUAUGCUUUUACUAGGAUUCUGUGAAACUAAUCAUGUAAGCCACACAUAGCCUCUGCUGCUGCUGCUGCUAAGGAAGGAAUUUUAAAGCAGUAAAAUAUUCCAGGUGGUUUUCUUUACUAGAAUGAUUAAACUUAAACAGAGAUUCAGAGUAAAAUCUACCUGUUACUGCACAUACCUCCACCACCACUAUCCUAAAAACUGAUGUUGAAAAUACGCAUUAUUCCAGUAGACAGUCAACAUGGCUCAUACUGGAUACUCAUCAAUGGAAGUUACAUCCUCAUUUAAAGAUAUCUAAUAUCUUAAUAUCAAUAUAUCUAAUAUCUUAAUAUAUUAUUUCACAUGAAAUUGAUAAAUAUGUAAUUCAUUUUUUAUUAUUAGGCAAAUGAUCCUUUAGUUUAUAAAUAGAUGACAGCAACAUGUAGUUCUGACUGAGCACUUACUAAGUGUCAGGCAUUGUUUUAGGCAUUUUAUGGGCACUGACUUAUCUAACCAUCAAAAUAAUUCUUAGCAGUAGGUUACAUUAUUAUCCUCAUAUUACAGAUGAGGAAACAGAAGCGCAGAGGAGUUAAGUGACUUGCUCAAAGAUUCACAGCUCAUAAGUAAUGCGGCUGUCAUCCCAACCACUAUGAGCUUACAAAUUAACUGGAAGACAAAACCACAGUUCAGAGUCAGUACUAGUAGGAGCCAUGUUAUAAGUAUCUAAUAAGGAAGAGACAGUGAUGAAAUAAGAAUGUUUACCUAACACUAGAGUGGUCUGUUAAAUCAAUUAUUUGAUGGAGACAUACACUGUCAGGUCAAUAAAUGUUUCGUAAGAAGGUGACUAAGUGAAUAAUCUCAAAUAAUCCCGAGAGACAACAUCUUGUGAAAUUCCUAGUCUGUUUUAAGAGUGGAAGCAAGGCAGGCCUUAAGAGGAAGUGCAGAAAUAAUGGAGAAGGUGUGUAUAUUUGGUAUUCUUUGGAAAAUGCAUUCAAACCAGAAAAACAAAACAUAAAGAUAAGGAAUCCUUUUUAAGAUUUAAAUAACAACUCUUUAAGUAAAACCAAUAAGAGACCAAAGAGUCACUGAAAGAGCCUUGGAAAUAAAUAUCAGGAAGCAACUAAAAGGUUCCAUCUGUGGAAGAGUUUCGCUAAUCACAAAAAGUGCUGAGAGCACAAUGGUCAUUUUUUUCCCAUUUAACCCUCCAUAUCUAAGCAUACCAAGAAACAAUUUAUAGCCUAAGAAUCUAUGCCAUUAAGCAUUCAUUCCACCUUCUUCUUGGCUCUUAUUCUGGAUUAUUUCUGUUUAUAUCACUGGUGAUAUUUUGCACAUUUAAGGCAAAAAUAUCAUAGAAUCACUGUCAAACUUUUUGAGUGAAUACAUUUCUGAUUACAGUACUCUUUUGCCUAAAACCCUUUGAUGUCUCCUCCUUAGCUCCAGGACAAAGUCCAAAUUCCUUAGCCUGGUAUCCAGUGCGGUGUGCUUUUACUUAGAUGGAAUAAAAUCAAAUAGCCACUACAUAAUAGUGAAUGAUAACAGUAGAAGUUUACUGAGCAUGUAUUAGGUGCUAAGCACUUCAUGUGUGCCAUGUAUUCACUGCCUCCAACAAUUUCAUUUUAUAGAGGAAGUGAUGGAGGCACAGAAAUGGAUGGCGCACAGUGAGGAAAACACUGACUGCUCAUGAAGCCCGUAGCCCCUUUUUCGUGGGCAUUCAGCUAGUCUACAUUUCCCAGCCUCUCUUGCAGUUAAUAGUGGUCAUAUGACUGGAGUCUAGCUAAUGGAAUGUCAGAGGAAGUGACAAGCUUCAUUUCUAGCCCCAGUCCAUAAAAACCUGGAGACAGCAUCCAGGCAACCUGCAUAGCCAUGUGUGGUAGUCCCAGGAGUGGACCACAUUUUUCAGUGUUCUUUGCCUAGUGUAGUCCCCUGCCCUUCAAGCCCGCCUGGCUCUAUGAGUUACUUUAACCAACUGAAUGUGGCAGAAGGGGAUGCCAAGCCCAUUCUGGACCUGAGACAUAAGAAGGCAUGGAAACUUCUGCUUUUGCAUUCAUAGGACCCUUGAGCCCCCAUGACAUAGGUGUAGCCACUAUGUUGAAGAGACCACGUGGAGAGGCAAUAUAGCCAGCGUGAAAGGUUUAGUUGCCCCAAUGUCUCAACCUAAAUCCAGCCCACCCUACCUCCAGCUGAAUGAAAGGAAGAAGCAGCCCAGGUUCAGAAUCAUUGCUUGGAGCACAGCUGUCCCACCAAUUGUGGCCAAUCUAACAGUAUGAAUGACAAAUAGACUUAUGUUGUGAAAUUUGGGGAUGUAUCUGAUAUAGCAGCUGACCUCACUUUCCUGAACUUCCCAUAUGAACACAGAUAAUAAAUCUAAGCAGCCUGAUCUGGAGCCCUUGCGCUUGAAACUCCUCCUAUACUUCUCCCCACUGAACGACAUCAUGACUCAUUUCGUCCCUUCCUACAUUCUCACUUGGAAACAGAGUAGUUGAUCAACUGGAUGAAAAAGUUUGCCGACCCCAGAUCUGGACCCACUGAAAAGAAAUCACCAGAUAUAUGACAUAGGGGAUGACAAUGUUCACAUUUCAUGGUGGAGCAUUUCACUAUUUCAAACAGCAAAGGAACCACAUUUUUUUUCUGUUUCUUUUUUUAAUUAAUUUUAAGUUCCAGGGUACAUGUGCAGGAUGUGCAGGUUUGUUACAUAGGUAAACAUGUGACAUGGUGGUUUGCUGUACCUAUCAACCCAUCACCUAGGUAUUAAGCCCAGCAUGUAUUAGCUAUUUAUCCUGAUGCUCUCCCUCCCCCAACCCCACCACCGGACAGGACCCAGUGUGUGUUGCUCCCCUUCCUGUGUCCAGGAACCACAUGUUUUUAAAACUAUGUUUGUGACAUCUCUGUAUGUAUGAGCAGAUGGGUCCACAGAGAUCACUCAAUGUCUAAUUUUCUUUUACGCACAUAAUGAGAAAAAGCUCAGGGAGAAAAAGUGAAAUCAGUAGCAUGGACUUUAGUAUUUGGUAUGAGCUACUUAUUAGGAAUCAGCAUUUCUUCCAAGUAUUCUCGAAAGAAAAGACAUUCAUACUAGAGUGAUGCCUAUCAAAUCCACUAUGGCCGGCCUGAGAAACUUGUAAUUAAAAACUACAAACAUUAUAGAUUUGUCUCCAUAUUAAAUAGAUUUAACUAUCUCUACAUCUAUGUGUAUCUAUAUGUAUCUCUUGACUAUUAUAUAUUUAUUAUAUGAUGAAUUAUAUAUGUGACAUAUUUCUAUCUUAUAUAGACAAAUAUUUAUAAUAGGUAUGUGAUAAUACACAGUGGGUAAAGGGUACGUAUGCAAAUGCAUCUUGCUUUAAGUAAACCAAUUAUUUGAAAAUACACACAAUAAAAUUAGGGGCAAUGAUUCUGUGGUUCAAAUACAUCAGUAUGGGUUCCCUGCAGUGACCCAGGAAAACUGAAGCAAAAUCAUUUUUAACAUUGCUUCCUAUGUCUCUCCUACUCACACUCAGAAAGUCACCAGUUUCUGUGGAUCCCACCUCAUUAAAAACUGUCCUUUCCUUUAACACUUCCUCUCUGGGAAUGUCCACCAGCACUUCCACACUCUUGUAGGCUGUCUCUCCCUACAAAGCAAAACUCAUCUUGUCCCUUCCCUUUUGAAAGCCAUCAUUGAGGCUCCUAGCUUUCCAGAUGAAGUUCUCAACUCUGAGGUGAAAACACAAGAUCGCUCAAGAUCUGGCCACUGCUUAGCUCUUGGGCUUCACCAAGCCUCACUUACUUCACAUCCCUUAAUUUCAGCCACAUGGAAGAGCCCAGAGGACUUCAUGGUUAGGGUGAGGGGUGCUCUCAGCCCAAAUGGCUUCCCCAUGCCUUCCUACUCACCCUGUAAUGCUUACUGAGCAUCACCUCCUCUGAGAAGCCCUGUCGUCCCCCUACAGGGACAUUACAAAUGAAUCAUCACAUUAACAAGAAAAUCAUACCAUCUAAAACACAAACAAGUUUACUAUGGACCUAUAAGGAACACCAAAACAUGACCAAAGGAAAUUCACCUUAUGUUUGUUAAAGAAGGCGAAUCUGCUUCUUUCAAGGUUCCAAAUGACCUAGACACUUGAGAUGUCUAGACAAUCACUUGUGAUGUCUCAUUGAGGGAGGAAAGAGGAGGGGUGGGAAUGUUUAAAUGUCAGCUAUUUUUCCAGAAAACUCUAACGUCACCGAUACGUCCCUCCUAUGUAACCAUCACACUCAUCUCCCCCCGACCCUGCCCCAUCUCAGCUAUUUUCUUGACUCUUAUUUAAACAUUGGAAAGCUAUUUGAUUAUCUAUAUUUGUGCCUUUUCUCCCUGGCUAGACUGUAGGUUCUGGAAGAAUAGAAACAGCACUAACAUUUUGUGCUUUUGUAUAUUUGCUGGUUGAAAGAAAAUUUGAAGGAGAGUAGCAAUUCUGUCUAUACAGAAAAUCAUUUCUGUCUAUUAGCAUGGAAACAAGACCAGCAGGGAAUAUUUAUAUUUAGGACAUUUAUUUUAAAGUAGCUAAAAUCACUUCCAGUAAAAAUGCAAAAAAAAGAAAAUCUUGCUUCCUGACUUUUAGUAUUAAGAGACAAACAUGUAAAAGGGAAAAUUGAAAAGGGAGAAACCAACAUGAAGUAUGACACCAAAUGCAGGUAUGACGUGAAAACAAGCCAUCUGCACUUACUGGUUCACAUCUGAUUUUCUAGCUGCCACUUUUCAGAUUUAUUUUUCAAAAAUGUUUUCUCCUCAAUAUACGACUUUUAAAAUGAUAAAUUACACAGUAUUUCACAGACCUGUGUAAAUACUUUUGCUCUGAUGUAUAGAAAAUCAUGCUUUCUCUGAGCAAUGAAGCAUAUUGAAAUUUACAUUUUCAAAAAUAAAUUAUAGUAAAAUAAUAGAAGAGCUUGGACAUAAAAAUCAUAUGCCAUAAAAGUUACCACUUUAAAGUGUAUAGUUCUGUGUUUCUUUUUAGUAUACUCAUAGAUAGUGUACAACCAUCAUCACUGAUUCCAAAACAUUUUCAUCACACCAAAAGGAAAGCCCAUACCCAGUCACUCCCCAUUCCCCUCUCACCCCAGCCCCUGGGAACCACUAAUCUACUUUCUGUCUCUAUGGUUUUGCAUGUUUUUGACAUUUAAUAUAAAAGUAGAAUCAUAUAAUAUGUGGGCUUUUUGUGUCUGGUUUCUUUCACUUAGCAUGUUUUUGGAGUUCAUCCACGUUGUAGCAUGUGUCAUUACUUCAUUCAUUCUUAUGGCAGGAUAAUAUUCACUGUAUAGAUAUACUAAAUUUUGCUUGUCCAUUCUUCAGUUGAUGGGCAUUUGGGUUCUUUCCACAUUUUGACUGGUAUGAAUAAAGCUGCUGUGAAUAUUCAUACACACUUUGUGUGAACGUAGGUUUUCAAUGAUUUUGGGUAUAUAACUAGAAGUGGAAUUGCUGGAUCAUAUGGUAACUAUGUAGCCAAAAACAAAAAAAAAAAACGUAGACAACAUGACUCCAAAUAGCAAGAUUCAAACACUUAUUUUAGUGCAAAACUUGUUUUCCGCCUCAUUCCAUUCACAUGAGAUAUCAACAAUUACAAGAAAACUCAUGCAAUGUUUCCACUUCAU
rnacentral:lncRNA from 1 species